UCCCCCGUAGCUCAAUUGGCAGAGCAUUCGACUGUUAAUCGAACGGUUUCUGGUUCGAGUCCAGACGGGGGAGCCAU
rnacentral:tRNA from 1 species